rnacentral:lncRNA from 1 species
GUAACCACUUUGUAAACCCAGACACGAGACAGAAGGCCUGUGGAUUCCCGCUAACAAGCUGUGUAAGGCAUUCUCAGCAUUUCUCCAGGCUGUCAGAGGGCUUAGAUCAAGUGUUCUCACACAUUGCCUAAGCUCUUCUCAGACAUAUUUGCUCCAGGCUUUUAUCAACUGCCAGGAAACAAGCAGCUGUGAGUUCCAAACCUAGCAGAUGUCUUUCUUGAGCUUGCCGGCCACCAGCCACUCGGCCUCUACUGCUGACUUCAGGACCAGCUCCUUGACCUGCGUGUCCAGUUUUUGCAUUUCGCUCACUUUGUCGCACAGGUUGGAGCCCUCAGUUUUCAGCCUGGACUGCAGCACUGCCACCUCGCUGGUCAAAGCCUUGUGCUUAGUUUCCAGGCUCUUCUUGCCACUAUUGAGGCUGGACACAUCCCGGGACUGUUUGUAUCUACUGACCGUCUUGUCAAAGUGAUGGUAGAGACCUAGUCUCUUGCUGACCAGGGUCAAGACCUGCUCUGUUAUGCAAGCCACCUUCAUCCUGGCUUCUGCAGCUGGAUUCUUUGUGAUGGAUAAGUCCAGCCUGACAUAGAUGAUGAUGGUGAAGAACAGAAUGGAGAAGGCGGCCACCAACAGCAGGGGCUCCUGUAGCAUGAGCACCUUGCUGAAGGUGUAGUGCACCAUGAUGUCCUGAAUGUGCUCUUCCACCAGGUUUUUCUUGUGGGCCACAAUCACAGGACGGCCAAACGUGUCCAGACUGUUGGUUUCCUCAUCCACUCCCGUCACCUGCACGCCGAGGUGUGCCAGCUGGGCCUCCAACUCGGGCUCCAGCGCUACCAGGAAGGAGGCAGCGUGGGGCGAGGAGUCACUGCCCGCGUGAGCCAGGACCACCUCGGCUGUCACCUUGGCCAGGUGGCUGCUCAGGUCCACCGUACGCCUCACCUCUUCGUUGACCAGUGGCGGAGCCUCCGCAGAGGUGCUGCCUGGCUCCAGGGCCCAGGGCACAAACAGCAGCAGCAACGGCAGCAGGUGGACUGCAGGCGCCUCCAUAGCCGUGACCUAGUGAGCCCCGCCUGCGUGUGCGUGCCCUGCGUUCCCCACAGGGCAGCGUCUCAUUGGGCCACUCAGUUCCCCAAGAUGGCGGCGCCCAGGACCCCACAGUUAGUAUUUAAUGAGGAGCUUUUACUCUUAAAGGACAAGGCCAGCAACAAUAACAAAAUCACCACUGUGGGAAAUAGGAAACAGAGAUUGACAGGUACAAGAAUAUCCAGUGGAAAGAGGAUACAAUUUGGAAAACUUUCACCAGAGUUCAAGUUGAUUCUGCCAUGA